rnacentral:rRNA from 1 species
GCGGCAAGAGCUCAAAUUUGAAAUCUGGCUCCUUCGGGGCCCGAGUUGUAAUUUGUAGAGGAUGCUUCGGGCGUGGCCGCGGUCUAAGUCCCCUGGAACGGGGCGUCGCAGAGGGUGAGAAUCCCGUCUUCGGCCGGCCGGCCCCGCCCGUGUGAAGCUCCUUCGACGAGUCGAGUUGUUUGGGAAUGCAGCUCUAAAUGGGUGGUAAAUUUCAUCUAAAGCUAAAUACUGGUCGGAGACCGAUAGCGCACAAGUAGAGUGAUCGAAAGAUGAAAAGCACUUUGAAAAGAGAGUUAAACAGCAUGUGAAAUUGUUGAAAGGGAAGCGCUUGCGACCAGAGUCGGCCGCGGGGGCUCAGCGGGCACUCGUUGCCCGUGCACUCCCCCGUGGUCGGGCCAGCGUCGGUUUCGACGGCCGGUCAAAGGCCCCCGGAAUGUGUCGCCUCUCGGGGCGUCUUAUAGCCGGGGGUGCAAUGCGGCCAGUCGGGACCGAGGAACGCGCUCCGGCACGGACGCUGGCUUAAUGGUCGUAAGCGACCCGUCUUGAAACACGGACCAAGGAGUCUAACAUCCACGCGAGUGUUCGGGUGUCAAACCCGUCCGCGCAGUGAAAGCGAACGGAGGUGGGAACCCUCAAGGGUGCACCAUCGACCGAUCC